rnacentral:rRNA from 1 species
CCUACGGGAGGCAGCAGUGGGGAAUAUUGGGCAAUGGGCGCAAGCCUGACCCAGCAACGCCGCGUGAAGGAAGAAGGCUUUCGGGUUGUAAACUUCUUUUCUCAGGGACGAAGAAAGUGACGGUACCUGAGGAAUAAGCCACGGCUAACUACGUGCCAGCAGCCGCGGUAAUACGUAGGUGGCAAGCGUUAUCCGGAUUUAUUGGGUGUAAAGGGCGUGUAGGCGGGAGCGCAAGUCAGAUGUGAAAACUCAGGGCUCAACCCUGAGCCUGCAUUUGAAACUGUGUUUCUUGAGUGCUGGGGAGGCAAGCGGAAUUCCGGGUGUAGCGGUGAAAUGCGUAGAUAUACGGAGGAACACCAGUGGCGAAGGCGGAUUGCUGGACAGUAACUGACGCUGAGGCGCGAAAGCGUGGGGAGCAAACAGGAUUAGAUACCCCUGUAGUC